GUGAUUGCUUCAGCACCACAUAUACUAAAAUUGGAAAGAUGUAGAGAAUAUUAGCAUAGCCCCAACAUUAGAAUGAUAAAUAUGUGAAUUGUUCCAUAUUUUG